rnacentral:pre_miRNA from 1 species
UUUUGCGUCACCCCGGCGGAGGCCGGGGUCUCAGGAGGUGAGGGUGCAAACCUCUCCCGAGAUCCCGGCCUCCGCCGGGAUGACGGAAGA